CCAGCACCUGCGGUAAUUCCAGCUCCAAUAGCGUAUACUAAAGUUGUUGCAGUUAAAAAGCUCGUAGUUGAAUUUCUGGUCGCGGCAGCCGGUCCGCUCCUCGCGGAGUGUGUACCAGGCUGAGGCAGCCAUCCUCGCGGAGAGCGCAUCUGGCAUUCACUUGUCGGGUGCGGGAUCCGCGUCUUUUACUGUGAGCAAAAUAGAGUGUUCAGCAGGCUUAGGCCGUUGAAUACAUUAGCAUGGAAUAAUAAGAUAGGACCUUGGUCUAUUUUGUUGGUUUGUACUCCAAGGUAAUGAUUAAUAGGGAUAGUUGGGGGUAUUCGUAUUCAAUUGUCAGAGGUGAAAUUCUU
rnacentral:rRNA from 1 species